GUAAUAAAGACGACGUACGGGUUCAUAAAGGUGUAGAACAAGACUACUAUAUCCGAUGAAUAACAACCAAGUAACAUCCAGAGAACUUCGAAAUAUAUUUACAAAUGUAAACAAGAAUGUAUUGUGAUUUACCUCGUCUACUGGCUACAAGUGCGAGACAAAAUCCCCGAAAACAACGAGAAGAACUUUAAUGAUGGGGAAAAAUAAACGUCCAAGAACUAACCUAAUACAUAAAACCCGUGAAGCGACCACGGUAGAAGGAGCUCCACUCUCAACUACAUACACCACUACACGCACACUAUAACAACAUACACGGUCAAAGUAUAUGGUAAUGGUGUGACGACGUCCUCCCUUUCUUAUAGUCACUUCCCAAAGAGAUAAUUACUGUAUAACAGAACUUGUAGGAUCUUCCUGCUACGAGGACUACGGACAUCUUGGAAAACUUGGAUUAUUUAGUACGAUACAGACGAGACUCUGGGGAGAAGACGACCUACAGUUGUGAUUCCGGUGCUUCGAAUCCCUCCAAUAGCUGUUCUAAUAUUUUUCGUUUGAACCUUACUAGGAGAGCAACCAUUACUAACCUAGAUGUGAACAAAAACUCCUACCACUACCGAAUCUCCUUCUGCUCCGACGUUUGAUACGAAGUUUGGAACUCUUACAUGAUAGGAGUAUCUGAGUAUUACAAAGGACAAGUUCCGUUCCCGGUUACCUUGUUACGUGAGGUUACGGUAAAGACAGGAAAAACCUGACACGGGAACGCAAAGGUAUAACAGCUAGUUGAUAAUGUACAGAACUGACUUGACAGUCGAGGUCAUAAUUACCGUGUUUCGAACGACAACUCCUAAAGGCCGUCCUCAACAGUACGUUGUAAUUGUAGUUCGUGUCCCUCCUCAAACUACUCCUCUUUCUCGGACUGUUUUACCAAAGUAGACCUACCAGACGAGAACACCUCCCUGUCUAAUUGUCAUUACCCCUCUUGUUUAGCUGUCGAAGUAGGACACGCGUAAGGUGACUACUGUGAUAACUCCUAGGUAGCUGAUUUGGACCCUACUUCGCGUUCGACCCACUUUACAACCUUUAUUUCCUUUUGAUAGUACGUAGGUCGUCACGAAUCCACAAAACCAGAUCAACUACACACCAGAUACGAUAUCGUCUAACAUAUAGGACUAAGUUCACAAGAUCGUUAAAUCGUUUAAUUCGAUCGGAAAGAAACUUAAGUACCGGCCAUACUUAUGCUACAUACCACUUCAAAACGACUAAAUACUUAAUAAACUCGA
rnacentral:rRNA from 1 species